rnacentral:misc_RNA from 1 species
UUGCAUUUGCAAAGAUAACUUUCAAGAAACCUCACAUAUUGCUUCUUGAUGAGCCGUCAAAUCACUUGGAUCUGGACGCUGUGGAAGCCUUGAUACAAGGUCUUGUCUUGUUCCAAGGAGGCGUCCUGAUGGUCAGUCACGAUGAACAUUUAAUAUCUGGCAGUGUUGAUCAACUCUGGGCUGUCUCUGAGGGCAGAGUGACGCCUUUUGACGGGACAUUCCAAGAUUACAAGAAAAUAUUGCAAUCAUAAACACUUCUGCUGCUUUCUGAAGUGAACGAACUAUAAUUAGUUACUUAUGGCCUAAACCCCUACUUUUAUGCAGAGACCACAUGUUCGAUGUAAAAUUUCGAAACCAAAUUCUGAAGAAUGUUCUAAAACAAAUAGUGAUUUUCUACUCCUACUUGCUUCUAUUUACACUGUCCAAAUUGGACAAAACAUUUUCUCGAUUUGAUGAACUUUAUUUCAUCAAUUUUAUAUUAACAAAUCAAUGAAAUAAAAG